GAGGUUGUGGGGCGCAACGGUCAAGCGCAGUCUUCCAGAGAAAAAGAUCGCAGGUUCGAAUCCUGCCAGCCUCU